rnacentral:rRNA from 2 species
ACAGUGGACGCGAGCAUCUGUGGCCAAGUUUUUAAGGGCGCACGGUGGAUGCCUUGGCACCAGGAACCGAUGAAGGACGUGGGAGGCCACGAUAGUCCCCGGGGAGUCGUCAACCAGGCUUUGAUCCGGGGGUUUCCGAAUGGGGAAACCCGGCAGUCGUCAUGGGCUGUCACCCGCUGCUGAACACAUAGGCAGUGUGGAGGGAACGCGGGGAAGUGAAACAUCUCAGUACCCGCAGGAAGAGAAAACAACCGUGAUUCCGGGAGUAGUGGCGAGCGAAACUGGAUGAGGCCAAACCGUAUACGUGUGAGACCCGGCAGGGGUUGCGUGUGCGGGGUUGUGGGAUCUCUCUUCUGUCGUCUGCCGGCGGCAGGACGAGUGAGAAACCGUUGAUGUAGGCGAAGGACAUGCGAAAGGUCCGGCGUAGAGGGUAAGACCCCCGUAGUCGAAACGUGAGCGGCUCGUUUGAGAGACACCCAAGUAGCACGGGGCCCGAGAAAUCCCGUGUGAAUCUGGCGGGACCACNCCAAGUAGCACGGGGCCCGAGAAAUCCCGUGUGAAUCUGGCGGGACCACCCGUUAAGCCUAAAUAUUCCCUGGUGACCGAUAGCGGAUAGUACCGUGAGGGAAUGGUGAAAAGUACCGCGGGAGCGGAGUGAAAUAGUACCUGAAACCGUGUGCCUACAAGCCGUGGGAGCGUCGCUGGCGGAACUUGUUUCUGUCAGUCGUGACUGCGUGCCUUUUGAAGAAUGAGCCUGCGAGUUAGCGGUGUGUAGCGAGGUUAACCCGUGUGGGGAAGCCGUAGCGAAAGCGAGUCCUAAGAGGGCGAGGGAGUUGCACGCUCUAGACCCGAAGCGGAGUGAUCUAGCCAUGGGCAGGUUGAAGCGGAGGUAAGACUUCGUGGAGGACCGAACCCACCAGGGUUGAAAACCUGGGGGAUGACCUGUGGUUAGGGGUGAAAGGCCAAUCAAACUCCGUGAUAGCUGGUUCUCCCCGAAAUGCAUUUAGGUGCAGCGUCGUGUGUUUCUUGCCGGAGGUAGAGCACUGGAUAGGCGAUGGGCCCUACCGGGUUACUGACCUUAGCCAAACUCCGAAUGCCGGUAAGUGAGAGCGCGGCAGUGAGACUGUGGGGGAUAAGCUCCAUGGUCGAGAGGGAAACAGCCCAGAGCAUCGACUAAGGCCCCUAAGCGUACGCUAAGUGGGAAAGGAUGUGGAGUCGCAGAGACAACCAGGAGGUUGGCUUAGAAGCAGCCAUCCUUGAAAGAGUGCGUAAUAGCUCACUGGUCUAGUGAUUCCGCGCCGACAAUGUAGCGGGGCUCAAGCGUACCGCCGAAGUCGUGUCA